CGCCUCCGGGAGGACAGCCGGCGGGUGGCAGGGAAACCGGUGCUCCCGCGGGCCAGGAGCGGUGUGGAGCGCUUCGCGUACUCCCUGAGGCCUCACGCAGCCCCUGCUGUAGCAGCGUCUUCCCAGGUGGGGAAACUGAGGCUCCGAAGAGAUAAUGAUGCGUGUCAGACGAGAGGUGCGGCCAAGCCGUGUAUCGGGAACCAGCCGCCUGCCUGAGGGUCCGAGAACUCACACCCCAGACCCCCGGUCAAGAGAAACUCACCGUCCAGAGAGCUCCGACCCAGACCAUCUCUCCGGGAAGCAGGGCCUGGCCGUGGGCCAGGCCCACAAGGCGUUUGUCUGAAGCAUCACGGUGACCCUGGGGUUUGCGUGUGCUGGGUGGGAGACGACAGCGCCCCUCGGCAGCAGAGACGGCUCGGAUGCAACAAAGACCGGCAGGUUAAGAAGAAAAGAUCGUUCUCCUCGUUUUCUUUUCCCUCUCGAAGACCUUGGAUUUGGUGAAGCCCCCUCCUUGGAGGUCCCGGGCACCCCCUGAAGGCUGGAACGAGGGAAGGUGAUGCCCCCAGAGCCUGGAGAGGGACAGGCACAUGACGAGUGGAUGGAGCAGGGGCUGCUACUUCUGCCCAAAGAGGCCGAGGGAACCCCAGAGGAGGGAAGAAAUCCUGCGGGUGCCAUCUUUGAAAUCAGGCCACCGUGCAAGUCUCUCCCCACCCAAGUCAGCACCGCGGUCAGCUUCUCCAUCAGCGCCAGGACAGCCUGCAGUGGGGUCCUGGCUGGUCAACUCUGCCCACCUCGUGAGUCUCUGCCAGCAGUGCUCAGAGGGACCCUGUAAAAAACCAAGCAGUCCUGUCACUGCACCGUGGGGCACCUCCCAGGGGCUCCUGUCUCACGCACGAUAAACGCAAAGCAAACCCCGAGGCCCGCCAGCCCUCCCAGUCUGGCCUCUCUGCUCUCGACCUCAUCCACGCCUCUACCUCCGGCCGCGCUCUGCAGCAAGGAUGGGCACCUGCUGUCCUGGACAUACGGUGCAGCUUCUCCCGUGGUGGGGGGGGGGGGCUUUGCAUUUUCUCCUCCGUCUGGAGCAGCAGCAGUUGUGAUACCCUUCUUGCCUCCUCGCGAUAGGUGCGUUCCCUGUUCACACGCAGCCCUCCCGUGGGUUCUCCCACCUUCCCUGGCCUUCCUUCCUCCAUGGGACCCGGGUCCUCUGUGGCAGACAGGCCUGAGCAGGCCCACCUCCUGGUGUUCUCAUCCUGGGGUGAGCCCCUCCCCAGGUGUGGGCAGGACCCGUGACCACCUCUGCCUACAGAAGGUGCCCCAGGUGCUGGGGCCUCGCUUGCGGCUACUUUACAGACAUGAGACCGCCUUGUUGCAAACUCAGCCUGGAGUCUUGCUCUUGUUUGCUUUGGAUAACUAAGUUGUCUGCAAAUGCAAGUAAGUUCUGCCGAAGCCUGAGUGAGUGAAGAUGGGGAUGAGAACGCAGCCUGGCCCACAUCUGGAUUGCUGCCUGAGUGGAAAGCCCAGCUCGGCGGUGCCAGGGCUCCUGGCCACAGACGCCAAGAGACGGUCAGCUUGUGCGUCUGCAGCUGCUGAGCAUGUGGCAGUUGUCAGGCAGUG